rnacentral:rRNA from 1 species
AUUGAACGCUGGCGGCAGGCCUAACACAUGCAAGUCGAGCGGAUGAGGAGAGCUUGCUCUCUGAUUCAGCGGCGGACGGGUGAGUAAUGCCUAGGAAUCUGCCUGAUAGUGGGGGACAACGUUUCGAAGGGAACGCUAAUACCGCAUACGUCCUACGGGAGAAAGCAGGGGACCUUCGGGCCUUGCGCUAUCAGAUGAGCCUAGGUCGGAUUAGCUAGUUGGUGAGGUAAUGGCUCACCAAGGCGACGAUCCGUAACUGGUCUGAGAGGAUGCUCAGUAACACUGGAACUGAGACACGGUCAAGACUCCUACGGGAGGCGGCAGUGGGGAAUAUUGGACAAUGGGCGAAAGCCUGAUCCAGCCAUGCCGCGUGUGUGAAGAAGGUCUUCGGAUUGUAAAGCACUUUAAGUUGGGAGGAAGGGCAGUAAGUUAGUACCUUGCUGUUUUGACGUUACCGACAGAAUAAGCACCGGCUAACUCUGUGCCAGCCGCCGCCGUAACAC